CGGCCUCCCAAAGUGCUGGUAUUACAGGUGUCAGCCACCGCGCCUGACCAACAGUAAAAAAGGAUGAGGUGAACUGCCUUGGUCAGACUCUGAGAAAUACUCACAGUUCCUCCUUCCUCCUGGCCAAGUCCUUGAAGAAUCAAAGCAGCAAAUAAACAAGGUGGAACAAGAGUGAAAAUGAGAAUGCAUUUAUCUUCUCCACUGAACGACCCCAAGUCCUGUGUCAGGGCUGAGAUGUUUGAGUUGCUCCCAGUUUUAUGCUACCAUGAAUGAGGAGAAUGCUGAGAGAAAAGGUGCCUCUGAGCCCAUAGAACAUGUUCAAAGCAGAGCUCUUACCCGAAGCAAGAGAGAAAGACCACAGCAGGUAACAUCACAGCCAC
rnacentral:lncRNA from 10 species